rnacentral:rRNA from 1 species
UGAGGAACAUGACCUUCGGCGGGGGAUAGCCGGCCCAACGGCCGGGUAAUACCGCGUACGACCACUCGGGGACAUCCCUAGGUGGUGAAAGCAGCAAUGCGCCGAUGGAGUGCCUCGCGGCCUAUCAGCUAGUUGGUGAGGUAACGGCUCACCAAGGCGACGACGGGUAGCUGGUCUGAGAGGAUGGCCAGCCACAUUGGGACUGAGACACGGCCCAGACCUCCGUACGGGGAGCAG